GAACUUAAGCAUAUCAAUAAGCGGAGGAAAAGAAACCAACAGGGAUUGCCUCAGUAACGGCGAGUGAAGCGGCAACAGCUCAAAUUUGAAAUCUGGCUCUUUCAGGGUCCGAGUUGUAAUUUGUAGAAGAUGCUUUGGGUGUAGCUCCGGUCUAAGUUCCUUGGAACAGGACGUCAUAGAGGGUGAGAAUCCCGUAUGUGACUGGGUGCUUUCGCUCGUGUAAAGCUCUUUCGACGAGUCGAGUUGUUUGGGAAUGCAGCUCAAAAUGGGUGGUAAAUUUCAUCUAAAGCUAAAUAUUGGCCAGAGACCGAUAGCGCACAAGUAGAGUGAUCGAAAGAUGAAAAGCACUUUGGAAAGAGAGUUAAACAGUACGUGAAAUUGUUGAAAGGGAAGCGCUUGCAACCAGACUUGCGCGCUGUUGAUCAUCCGAGCUUUUGCCCGGUGCACUCGGCAGCGUUCAGGCCAGCAUCGGUUUUGGUGGGCGGAUAAAGGCCUUGGGAAUGUAGCUUCUUUCGGGGAGUGUUAUAGCCCUCGGUGCAAUGCGCCCUACCGGGACCGAGGACCGCGCUUCGGCUAGGAUGCUGGCGUAAUGGUUGUAAGCGACCCGUCUUGAAACACGGACCAAGGAGUCUAACAUCUAUGCGAGUGUUUGGGUGUCAAACCCAUACGCGUAAUGAAAGUGAACGGAGGUGAGAACCCUUAAGGGUGCAUCACCGACCGAUCCUGAUGUCUUCGGAUGGAUUUGAGUAAGAGCAUAGCUGUUGGGACCCGAAA
rnacentral:rRNA from 1 species